rnacentral:tRNA from 2 species
GUCGGGAUAGCUCAGUCGU